UACAGAGGUCUCGAGCGUUGUUCGGAUUCAUUGGGCGUAAAGGGUGCGUAGGUGGCGUGGUAAGUCUGGUGUGAAAUCCCGGGGCUCAACCCCGGAACUGCACUGGAUACUGCCAUGCUUGAGUACUGGAGAGGAGAUUGGAAUUUACGGUGUAGCAGUGAAAUGCGUAGAUAUCGUAAGGAAGACCAGUGGCGAAGGCGGCCUUCUGGACAGUGACUGACGCUGGAGACGCGAAAGCGUGGGGAGCAAACAGG
rnacentral:rRNA from 1 species